rnacentral:rRNA from 1 species
CGGGUGGCGGACGGGUGAGUAAUGUCUGGGAAACUGCCUGAUGGAGGGGGAUAACUACUGGAAACGGUAGCUAAUACCGCAUAACGUCGCAAGACCAAAGAGGGGACCUUCGGGCCUCUUGCCAUCGGAUGUGCCCAGAUGGGAUUAGCUAGUAGGUGGGGUAACGGCUCACCUAGGCGACGAUCCCUAGCUGGUCUGAGAGGAUGACCAGCCACACUGGAACUGAGACACGGUCCAG